rnacentral:rRNA from 1 species
CCUACGGGUGGCAGCAGUGGGGAAUAUUGCACAAUGGGCGCGACCCUGAUGCAGCCACGCCGCGUGAAUGAAGAAGUAUUUCGGUAUGUAAAGCUCUAUCAACAGAGAAGUAAAUGACGGUACCUGAGUAAUAAGCCACGGCUAACUACAUUCCAGCUGCCGCGGUAAUACGUAGGCGGCAAGCGUUAUACGGAUUUACUGGGUGUAAAGGGAGCGUAGAAGGUUAGACAAGUCUGAAGUGAAAGCCAGGGGAUCAACCCCGGGACUGCUUUGGAAACUGCCUGACUGGAGUGCUGGAGAGGCAAGCGGAAUUCCUAGUGUAGCGGUGAAAUGCGUAGAUAUUAGGAAGAACACCAGUGGCGAAGGCGGCUUGCUGGACAGUAACUGACGUUGAGGCUCGAAAGCGUGGGGAGCAAACAGGAUUAGAUACCCCUGUAGUC